CCUACGGGAGGCAGCAGUGAGGAAUAUUGGUCAAUGGGCUUACGCCUGAACCAGCCAAGUCGCGUGAGGGAAGACUGCCCUAUGGGUUGUAAACCUCUUUUGUCAGGGAGCAACGCCGGCUACGUGUAGCCGUACUGAGAGUACCUGAACAAAAAGCAUCGGCUAACUCGGUGCCAGCAGCCGCGGUAAUACGGAGGAUGCGAGCGUUAUCCGGAUUUAUUGGUUUUAAAGGGUGCGUAGGCGGAAUGCAAAGUCAGCGGUAAAAUCGCGGGGCUAACCCUCGCUCCGCCGUUGAUACGGGCGUUCUUGAGUGGGCGAGAAGUAUGCGGAAUUCGUGGUGUAGCGGUGAAAUGCAUAGAUAUCACGCAGAACUCCGAUUGCGAAGGCAGCAUACCGGCGCCCAACUGACGCUGAAGCACGAAAGCGUGGGUAUCGAACAGGAUUAGAUACCCGUGUAGUC
rnacentral:rRNA from 1 species